CAGCAGCCGCGGUAAUACAGAGGGUGCGAGCGUUAAUCGGAUUUACUGGGCGUAAAGCGUGCGUAGGCGGCUAAUUGAGUCGGAUGUGAAAUCCCCGAGCUUAACUUGGGAAUUGCAUUCGAUACUGGUUAGCUAGAGUGUGGGAGAGGAUGGUAGAAUUCCAGGUGUAGCGGUGAAAUGCGUAGAGAUCUGGAGGAAUACCGAUGGCGAAGGCAGCCAUCUGGCCUAACACUGACGCUGAGGUACGAAAGCAUGGGGAGCAAACAGGAUUAGAUACCCGUGUAGUCCCUGUCUCUUAUAU
rnacentral:rRNA from 1 species